rnacentral:rRNA from 1 species
GCAGUCGAACGAAGUACAAUACUUAGUGGCAGACGGGUGAGUAACAUGUGGCCAUCUGCCCUUUGGCCUGGAAUAACACGAGGAAACUUGUGCUAAUACCAGAUAAGUCUUUACGGAGAAAGCUUAAUGCACCAUUGGAUGAGCCCGCACUUGAUUAGUUUGUUGGUGGGGUAAUGGCCUACCAAGACUGUGAUCAAUAGCUGAUUUGAGAGGAUGAUCAGCCACAUUGGGACUGAGACACGGCCCAAACUCCUACGGGAGGCAGCAGUGGGGAAUCUUGCACAAUGGAGGAAACUCUGAUGCAGCGAUGCCGCGUGAGUGAAGAAGGCCUUUGGGUUGUAAAGCUCUUUCGUCGGGGAAGAAAAUGACUGUACCCGAAUAAGAAGGUCCGGCUAACUUCGUGCCAGCAGCCGCGGUAAUACGAAGGGACCUAGCGUAGUUCGGAAUUACUGGGCUUAAAGAGUUCGUAGGUGGUUGAAAAAGUUGGUGGUGAAAUCCCAGAGCUUAACUCUGGAACUGCCAUCAAAACUUUUCAGCUAGAGUAUGAUAGAGGAAAGCAGAAUUUCUAGUGUAGAGGUGAAAUUCGUAGAUAUUAGAAAGAAUACCAAUUGCGAAGGCAGCUUUCUGGAUCAUUACUGACACUGAGGAACGAAAGCAUGGGUAGCGAAGAGGAUUAGAUACCCUCGUAGUCCAUGCCGUANACGAUGUGUGUUAGACGUUGGAAAUUUAUUUUCAGUGUCGCAGCGAAAGCAAUAAACACACCGCCUGGGGAGUACGACCGCAAGGUUAAAACUCAAAUGAAUUGACGGGGACCCGCACAAGUAGUGGAGCAUGUGGUUUAAUUCGAAGAUACGCGCAGAACCUUACCACACUUGACAUGUUCGUCGCGAC